rnacentral:rRNA from 1 species
UACGUAGGGGGCGAGCGUUGUCCGGAUUUACUGGGCGUAAAGCGCGUGUAGGCGGCCCGUUAAGUGGGGUGUGAAAGCCCGGGGCUCAACCCCGGGACGCCGCUUCAAACUGGCGGGCUUGAGGACGGAAGAGGGGAGUGGAAUUCCUGGUGUAGCGGUGAAAUGCGCAGAUAUCAGGAAGAACACCCGUGGCGAAGGCGGCUCUCUGGGACGGUACUGACGCUGAGACGCGAAAGCGUGGGGAGCGAACAGG